UACGAAGGGGGCUAGCGUUGUUCGGAAUUACUGGGCGUAAAGCGCGCGCAGGCGGUUUCUCAAGUCAGUGGUGAAAGCCCGGAGCUCAACUCCGGAACUGCCAUUGAAACUGUGAGACUUGAGGACGAGAGAGGUGAGUGGAAUUCCCAGUGUAGAGGUGAAAUUCGUAGAUAUUGGGAAGAACACCGGUGGCGAAGGCGGGUCUCUGGGCCGAUAUUGACGCUGAGGAGCGAAAGCGUGGGGAGCGAACAGG
rnacentral:rRNA from 1 species